AUUGAACGCUAGCGGGAUGCUUUACACAUGCAAGUCGAUCGAGCGGCGGACGGGUGAGUAAUUUAUGGGUACUGCCCGCUAGAGGGGGAUAACUUCUUGAAACGGCUGCUUAUACCGCAUAUUAUCGGAUUACCCAUAUGGGAUUAGCUAGUAGGUGAGGUAAUUGCUCACCAAGGCGACGAUCCCUAGCUGUCCUGAGAGGCUGAUCAGCAACACUGGGACUGAGGAAGGGCCCAGACUCCUACGGAGGCAGCAGUGGGGAAUAUUGCACAAUGGGCGCAAGCCUGAUGGAGCAAUGCCGCGUGUAUGAGGAAGGCCCUAGGGUUGUAAAGUACUUUAAGUAGGGAGGCGUUACCGACAGAGGAAGCACCGGCUAACUACGUGGCAGCAGCCGCGGUAAUUC
rnacentral:rRNA from 1 species